rnacentral:misc_RNA from 1 species
GGGACAUGGCCGGAUCGUCGCCGGUGAUCGCGAACCGUCGAAUCGCCUCGCCGCUGGCUAGGAUUUCGAGUUCCCGGUCCCAACCGCCUCCGACCACGGCGGCGUGAGGAAUCUAUAGCGAUGGCGAAGGGGGGCAUGGAGAGGCUGCGGAGAGGGGUGAGGACGGUGUUCUUCAUGCUGACGAUGCUGGCGUCGCUGCUGGUGCUGUCGGCGCCUGUACUGGUGGCGGUCGGGGAUGUGGUGGUGUCUCUGGGUCUGGCGGCGAGAUUCGCCUGCGCUCGGUGCUAUUGUUUGAGGGAGCAUUUGGCGAGGUAUGGGU